UCCCCUCCCCCUCCCGCAGAGUCGGACAGCUGGUGCACGAACAGCGCCAUGGCUUCCCACUGCAGUGACCAGGCCUCCCCCUGCUGCCUUGAGCACCCCCAGCCAGGCAGCUGCUUCGGCCCCAACAACCUGGGGUCUGAGCGCCAACGCUUUGGUCUGCAUUCCCAGAGGGUGUGGGGCUUUCCCCUUCACAAGUCUGGAGCAGAAUUCUGAAGCUGGAGGUCAUCAGAAAGGUCAGCUGGCGGUGACAGGUUAAGUCACUGCUGCAAGUUGGGCCUCAAGAGUCUAAUGGACACCACGAUGACACACCUUGCUGCUUCCACACAGGUGGCUGGAAGGGCUCCAUGGGAGAAAGGAUGCGAAAGGCCCCCAUGUGCCCCUGCACUCACCUUCCGGUCCACACAGGCCACAGAGCGUCCGGCAAACAGGCUGGCCACACCCCGGGCCACAUUGACCUCGUCACUCAGGAUGUCUUCCCACCGGUUAUUGCGGAACUUGAACAGUUUGUCUGUGUAUGUGGCCACCCCUGGAGAGAGGAGGAAGGGAGGAUCAGAUUGGAUGGACCAGGGUACAGAUUCUGGCCUCUGGGUGUGUCUCCUGGGACCUGCCACAAGGUGGCUGGGACCAUGGUGGUCCUUAGUGGCAUGCAGACCUCAAGUAGCUGAGACUGUGCUAUUGGAGGUGCUUAGGUGUUUUCAUUAGGUUGGCCGGGGAAGAGGUCGUGGGCUUAAGCUGAGGGAGGCAGGACAACGUUUAUGAACUGGGGGUUUAGAGCAAAUGAGAGCAAUCUCAUUUCUGCCUCGAUUCUACUUUUAGGUUCCAGAUUUUUGGUUAAGUUGCUUGGGACUAGUUUUUGUUUGUGAAUGAGGACGACAAUAAUAACUACAGUCAAGUUUACUGCAAGGAAUAAAUAAGAUGCUGCACAUGAAAGGUUUGGCAUGGUAGCUGCUAUUAGAUAGAAAUGAUUUCCCCAUUUUAUAGAUGAGCUACUCUCUGAAGUCCUAUAGAGACCGCACACUGCAGGGGUUUGGUGAGAGUCAGUGACUUUGUGAGUGUGAAUGAGUGCUCAGGGUCCGAGUGUGCAAGUGUGUGUAAGAGAACAAGUGAGUGGCAGGAGAGAAUGGGUGUGCAAACGGGUGCAUGUGUGGGUGUGGGAAAGUGAGGGACGGAGUGUGAGCGUGGCAUUGAGGAGAGAGAAGCGGAUCCCAGUCCCUCGAGUGGCUCAGCCCAGGGAUGACAAAGGACCUCUAGGCUGCAGUUUUCUCAUCUGUGGAGGAGAAAGGCAGUGCUCACCACAUUCCAGUUUACUGAGAGGGUCUGGAGGGUGUUGUCUGGGGCUUCCUGAGCCCAGGGGCUGCUCAGACCUGGAGCGUCGUGGGUGGGAUCGGGAACGGGCCUCAGGGAUGCUGGCUGGGCACUGAGGAGCGGGCCCCUGGAACAGGGCCACCCCGUCCCUGCCUGCCUGGAGGGGCAGCUGAGCCCUGGUCCACAGAGGACGGAAGGCCUCCCCAUGGGGAGCAAGCGGGGUCUGCAGUGUGAUGGUAGGGGAGGUUUCUGGGGAUCCACAGGUGCGGGUCGGCCCGGCGCUGUGGCUGGGGAGGGAGGCCGGCAGGGAAACUGAAGCACUGGUGAGUCCCUCAUUCUCUGGCCCUGGUUUCCUCAUCUGAGAGUUGCGAUAAGAGCUGUGCCUCAUGCACACUGUCGCUGUGGGCAUCACAAGAGAAAACACACACGAAGCCCUGGCCACAGGUCCUGUAGGCAGGGCAGUGGCAGCUUGACACCACCGCAGGCCCAGGGCCCCUCACAGAAACCCCUGGGGCCCAAAUGUGUCUAGAAGUUUAGAUUGUUAUCUCAGACAGGUAACGGUGGUGCACAUACCAUGGGUUAUGUAACACCCCAGCAGGGACUGGGGGUGGCACCCCAUAAUUAAACACUUUAAUAUUUCUGCAGUGAAACAUGAAUAUUCACAUUAAGUGGGAUAAAUAAAGCUUAUAAAUAGUUCACA